ensembl:lncRNA
AUGUGUAGAGAGCUCAGAUAAAGGCUAUUUUUCAGUAAACCCACUCAACCCUAAUCAGGGCUCACUCAGUUUUCCAAUGGACCAAGUAUUUCUUCCUUUUUUAUACAAAUACAGAAGACCAACUUCUUUCUCCCCAUCACUGUUCUUUUUACCCUCUUUCUUCUCACUCCCUAAUGGCUAUUUGCUCUGUAUUAGAGGACAUUUAGUAAACCAUAGAAUUACUGAAGGAAUAUCUGAGAGGCAGUUGCUGUCAGGACAAAACUUGUGACAUCACAGAUGAGGCUAGGGCUCUCCAGGUUACAAGAGAUUUUUCAGGCAUGGGCUAAUGAUGAUGUAACUGAGAGCUGCCAUGGCCUAACUUCUGAGCACCUUUCCUUACAUUGACCAGAUUCGAGAGUGCCUUUUCCAGGAGUGUCUCCUGUGAUACAGUGGAAAAAUUUAUGUACCCCAUUUCUCUAAAUCUAGAGACUUCUCUCUGCUUCACUUGUGGUUACAUGUUCUGAAUGGAGAAAUUUAGACAGGGGCUUGGCAUGGGUAGUAAAGAUUUUGGAAUAUGGAGUGUAGUAGAUUCCUCAAGAGAAUAUUUUUAUUCUCUAUGUCACAGGUUUUUUCCUGUGACAUACAGUUCAAUUUUCUAGGUUUUCUCUGUUUCCCAAACUCUAGUAUUUUCCCUACAGACCUUUAAUUUAAUGAAUAUUGUAUUUCUAGUUCUUAUUGUAAAUUCCUUGAAAAGCGACUGUAGGCAGCUGUGAUGUGCCCAGGCUCAAAGUUGGCAGUUGUUUCUGCAUUCCACCCUCCCAAUGGUUGGACACAGCAAGUGGUGGCCCGUACGGGACCUCCUGAUAUCAGAACUUCAUGCAGUCAGGGCAGCGCUGGAAAGUUCCCAAGGUAAGAUGGGACCAUAACGACCCUGGGAUAUAAGUGGCUAUAAAUAUUCAGUGUAGUUACCAAGAAAGUUCUCGGUAGCAGCGAACCGAAAUUAGGAAGACACUUGGUGAAUUUAGCCAUAGCAGGGUAGAAAGAUUUUGUCAUGAGGACCUCACAGUCUCAUCCAAUUUUUCUGGCUCUUCAAGAGCUGUUUGAGCAUAAGAAACUAAAAAUAAAAAGGAGCAUUAGUAGAGAGAUUUUUGCGUGAAUGGGAUGUCAUUGCCCCCUGGUUCGCAGUCUCUGGUAAUCUUACUGUGGAAGUUGCGAAAAAUUAGGGAAAGACCUUGAUUUUGCAUGGGAACAGGGGAUGAAAAGACCUGGGGUCCAUCCAGUGUGGCCCUUAGUGCGUAGUUGUCUUGAGGAUCAAAAAUGUUGUCAGGCAACUAUGGAGAAGGGGCAAGCUGCCCAAGAAAUGCAUCAAAAUGAGAGGACAGAAAAGCAGGGAAGCGUAAAGGAGACAGACUCAGAAAAGACAGAUACAGAGGAAGAAACAGACAAAACAGAUUCAGAAGAAGAGUUACAAGAGUUGAUAGAUCAAAUGCGGAAACAGUCUCUAAGGAAUAGACAGAACAAGAAAAGGAAAAAGCCUAAAAUGGUGGAGGAACUUCCUGUGUGGUUCCCCUCAGCUGCUCCUCCCUGCAAUGUUGUAGAGGGAGGAAGUAGAGUUUCGCGUGCAGGGAGCCCUCCUGUGGUGAACAACAGUACUGUGCAUGUGCAGGCUUUGCACCAGGCAUCAGUUGGCCAGUAAUAUGCUAAUGAGGG